CAAGCGGAGGAGCAUGUGUUUUAAUUUGAUGCACCGCAAAGAACCUUACCUGGGCUUGAACGUGGUCUGACCGCCCUUAAAAAUAGGGGCUUUCCCGCAAGGGACAGGCUGCGAGGUGCUGCAUGGCUGUCGUCAGCUCGUGUCGUGAGAUGUUGGGUUAAGUCCCGCAACGAGCGCAACCCUUGUCCUGUGUUGCUAAGCCGAAAGGCUGCUCUCUCAGGAGACCGCCAGCGAUAAGCUGGAGGAAGGGGGGGAUGACGUAAAGUCAUCAUGGCCUUUAUGUCUGGGGCCACACACGUGCUACAAUGGCCAAUACAAACCGUUGCAAACUCGCGAGGGUGAGCUAAUCGGAAAAAGCUGGCCUCAUUUCGGAUUGUAGGCUGCAACUCCCCUGCAUGAAGUUGGAAUCGCUAGUAAUCGCGGAUCAUCACGCCGCGGUGAAUUUUUCCGGGGUCUUGUACACCCC
rnacentral:rRNA from 1 species